rnacentral:rRNA from 1 species
AUUGAACGCUGGCGGCAGGCCUAACACAUGCAAGUCGAACGGAGUGGCGGACGGGUGAGUAAUGUCUGGGAAACUGCCUGAUGGAGGGGGAUAACUACUGGAAACGGUAGCUAAUACCGCAUACUAUCAGAUGAGCCUAGGUCGGAUUAGCUAGUUGGUGGGGUAAAGGCCUACCAAGGCGACGAUCCGUAACUGGUCUGAGAGGAUGAUCAGUCACACUGGAACGGAGACACGGGCCAGACUCCUACGGGAGGCAGCAGUGGGGAAUAUUGGACAAUGGGCGAAAGCCUGAUCAAGCCAUGCCGCGUGGGUGAAGAAGGUCUUCGGAUUGUAAAGCACUUUAAGGUGGGAGGCGGUACCAAAAGAAUAAGCACCGGCUAACUUCGUGCCAGCAGCCGCGGUAAUUC